rnacentral:lncRNA from 1 species
CGCCGUUCCUUGCGCGAGCUGCGCCGUUACUACGCGAGCUGCGCCGUUACUAUGGGAGCUGCGCCGUUACUACGCGAGCUGCGUCGUUACUUGCGCGAGCUGCGCCGUUACUACGCGAGCUGCGUCGUUACUUGCGCGAGCUGCGCCGUUACUUGGCGAACGCGGCGGCAACGGCUGUGGCGAGCGGCCGGAGUUUAGUCAGCAUCGGGGAAGCAAGCGCGCUGCCAGUCCCUCGCAGCAGCGGCCGCGUCGGGCCGCCUUCUCGUCGGGGCUGGAGGAAAACGUCGCUGUUUCCUUCAAAGUUGCAUCAGUCUAGUCAAGGAGAAGAACCCCUCUCCAUGCUGUCCCCGAGGGCACCUGCGGGUGCGGGCUGCCGGGCGCGGUUCCGGAUGGUUCGCGGAGGGCAGACCCGGCGUCAGGACGGAGACCGGCGAGUGCGCAG